UACGGGGGGGGCAAGCGUUGUUCGGAAUUACUGGGCGUAAAGGGCUCGUAGGUGGCCAACUAAGUCAGACGUGAAAUCCCUCGGCUUAACCGGGGAACUGCGUCUGAUACUGGAUGGCUUGAGUUUGGGAGAGGGAUGCGGAAUUCCAGGUGUAGCGGUGAAAUGCGUAGAGAUGUGGAGGAACACCAGUGGCGAAGGCGACUCUUUGGCCUGUAACUGACACUGAGGCGCGAAAGCGUGGGGAGCAAACAGG
rnacentral:rRNA from 1 species